CUGGUAGUCCACGCCGUAAACGAUGUCUACUUGGAGGUUGGUGUCUUGAACACUGGCUUUCGGAGCUAACGCGUUAAGUAGACCGCCUGGGGAGUACGGUCGCAAGAUUAAAACUCAAAUGAAUUGACGGGGGCCCGCACAAGCGGUGGAGCAUGUGGUUUAAUUCGAUGCAACGCGAAGAACCUUACCUACUCUUGACAUCCACGGAAUCCUGCAGAGAUGCGGGAGUGCCUUCGGGAACCGUGAGACAGGUGCUGCAUGGCUGUCGUCAGCUCGUGUUGUGAAAUGUUGGGUUAAGUCCCGCAACGAGCGCAACCCUUAUCCUUGUUUGCCAGCACUUCGGGUGGGAACUCCAGGGAGACUGCCGGUGAUAAACCGGAGGAAGGUGGGGACGACGUCAAGUCAUCAUGGCCCUUACGAGUAGGGCUACACACGUGCUACAAUGGCAUAUACAGAGGGCAGCAAGACCGCGAGGUGGAGCGAAUCCCACAAAGUAUGUCGUAGUCCGGAUUGGAGUCUGCAACUCGACUCCAUGAAGUCGGAAUCGCUAGUAAUCGUGGAUCAGAAUGCCACGGUGAAUACGUUCCCGGGCCUUGUACACACCGCCCGUCACACCAUGGGAGUGGGCUGCACCAGAAGUAGAUAGCUUAACCUUCGGGAGGGCGUU
rnacentral:rRNA from 1 species